GAUGAACGCUGGCGGCGUGCUUAACACAUGCAAGUCGAGCGAACAGACGAGGAGCUUGCUCCUCUGACGUUAGCGGCGGACGGGCGAGUAACACGUGGAUAACCUACCUAUAAGACUGGGAUAACUUCGGGAAACCGGAUCUAACACCGGAUAAUAUAUUGAACCGCAUGGUUCAAUAGGGAAAGACGGUUUUGCUGUCACUUGGAGAUGGAUUCGCGCCGCUUUAGCUAGUGGGUAAGGUAAGGGCUUACCAAGGCAACGCUGCGUAGCCGACGUGAGAGGGUGGUAGGCCACACUACAACUGAGACGCGGUCCGGACUCCUCCGCGAGGCAGCAGUAGGGAAUGUACCGCAGUGGGCGGGAGCCUGGCGGGACACCGCCGCGUGGGUGAUGAAGAUCUUCGGAUCGUAAAACUCUGUUAUUAGGGAAGAACAAAUGUGUAAGUAACUAUGCACGUCUUGACGGUACCUCAUCAGAAAGCCACGGCUAACUACGUG
rnacentral:rRNA from 1 species